GACGAACGCUGGCGGCGUGCUUAACACAUGCAAGUCGAACGGAAAGGCCCUGCUUUUGUGGGGUGCUCGAGUGGCGAACGGGUGAGUAACACGUGAGUAACCUGCCCUUGACUUUGGGAUAACUUCAGGAAACUGGGGCUAAUACCGGAUAGGAGCUCCUGCUGCAUGGUGUGGGUUGGAAAGUUUCGGCGGUUGGGGAUGGACUCGCGGCUUAUCAGCUUGUUGGUGGGGUAGUGGCUUACCAAGGCGUUGACGGGUAGCCGGCCUGAGAGGGUGACCGGCCACAUUGGGACUGAGACACGGCCCAGACUCCUACGGGAGGCAGCAGUGGGGAAUAUUGCACAAUGGGCGGAAGCCUGAUGCAGCAACGCCGCGUGCGGGAUGACGGCCUUCGGGUUGUAAACCGCUUUCGCCUGUGACGAAGCGUGAGUGACGGUAAUGGGUAAAGAAGCACCGGCUAACUACGUG
rnacentral:rRNA from 1 species